CUUGAGUGAAGCUGAAGAGAGCCGUCUAUUGACAGUUCGUCUCUGUUCAGUCAGGUACUGUCAUGGAGUCGCUCUCUUCAGAUGAUCUCUU
rnacentral:pre_miRNA from 1 species